rnacentral:misc_RNA from 1 species
GAUGAACAAUGUAGCGAAAUGCGAUACUUGGUGUGAAUUGCAGAAUCCCGUGAACCAUCGAGUCUUUGAACGCAAGUUGCGCCCGAAGCCGUCAGGCCGAGGGCACGCCUGCCUGGGCGUCACACGCCGUUGCCCCCCCGCGCCCCGCACCCAACGCUUUGGGAGCGACCGCGGGGCGGGCUGAUGAUGGCCUCCCGUGCGCUCCGCCGCGCGGUUGGCCCAAAUACCGAGUCCCCGGCGACGUGCGCCACGACGAUCGGUGGUUGAGAGACCUCUGUCGCAAGUCGUGCGCGCCCGUCGCGUCACGCGGGCUCGCAUAGCGCCUCGCGCCGCACCCGGUGCGGAGCUUUCAACGCGACCCCAGGUCAGGCGGGGUUACCCGCUGAAUUUAAGCAUAUCAAUAAGCGGAGGA